rnacentral:tRNA from 1 species
GCCAGCAUGGUGUAAUGGUUUGAGUGUUGGACUAUGACUGGGAAACCAGGGUUUGAAUCCCUGUUUUGCCA